rnacentral:lncRNA from 1 species
AAAAUUAGGAGAGCAUUUUCCAAAAGAUAACUGAAUGUGUCAAAAUAACAGUAUUCUGAUUUUUGUGUUUCUCUAGUAUUAUAUUUGAUUCUAACACAAAUUUAGUUAUUGUCAAAUAUGCUUGUACCAUCCACAGUCAUUUGCUUGCAAAGAGAGGGACCAUGUCAUCAACGGGCAUUGGUGUUGUAUGUACCAGUGAAGUGAGAUUAGAGGGAAACUCUGCUCAACACAGGCAUGGCAGCCGCAUGGAGGAGUGUGUCGAGGAGAAAGCAUAUGUUACCUGGAUGUGGUGGCUGCAAUUGCAUCUGCUAUCUUGGGUGAAUAAAGAAAACCAGCAUAAGAAAACAAUCCAAAAUGCUGAACAUGGCAGAAUACAAAAAUAGAAAAUAUGAAGCUGUGACCUUGAAGAUGUCAUCGACCCCCUUAAUAAAAAAAACAUGAAGUCACCCUACCAGAAGACCUUUUGUUGUUU